GAGUUUGAUUCUGGCUCAGGACGAACGCUGGCGGCGUGCUUAACACAUGCAAGUCGAACGUGAUUUUAUUGGAAGGAUCUUCGGAAACGGAAAAUAAAUGAAAGUGGCGAACGGGUGAGUAACACGUGAGCAACCUGCCUUACACAGAGGGAUAGCCAUUGGAAACGGUGAUUAAUACCUCAUGAGACCACGGUACCGCAUGGUAAAGGGGUUAAAGAUUUAUCGGUGUAAGAUGGGCUCGCGUCUGAUUAGCUAGUUGGGAGGGUAAAGGCCUACCAAGGCGACGAUCAGUAGCCGGUCUGAGAGGAUGAACGGCCACACUGGAACUGAGACACGGUCCAGACUCCUACGGGAGGCAGCAGUGGGGAAUAUUGCACAAUGGGGGAAACCCUGAUGCAGCGACGCCGCGUGAGCGAAGAAGGCUUUCGAGUCGUAAAGCUCUGUCCUAUGAGAAGAUAAUGACGUAUCAUAGGAGGAGCCCCG
rnacentral:rRNA from 1 species